UUGGUGCCGGGGCUUCUCCCGUUU
rnacentral:tRNA from 1 species